ACAAAUGCAGAUACCUCACACAGCCAACAUCAGAUAAUAUUUAAUCAUAUAUAUAUGGUAAUGGAAUGGAAAACACAGAAUCCCACAUGUGCAGGGUAGCAGCAGUCAAGUCUGAGAAAGCAGCUCUACAUGCUUCUCCAAUGUUUUUAUUUAAGGCAAGUCAGUUAAGAACAAAUUCUUAUUUUCAAUGACGGCCUGUUCAGAGGCAGAACGACAGAUUUGUACCUUGUCAGCUCAGGGGUUUGAACUUGCAACCUUCCGGUUACUAGUCCAACGCUCUAACCACUAGGUUACCCUGCCGCGUGAUCAUAUGCCAGCAUGGAAGAGUGUUCAGCGAUAGCUAAUGGGUUACUAGUCCAACGCUCUAACCACUAGGUUACCCUGCCGCGUGAUCAUAUGCCAGCAUGGAACAGUGUUCAGCGAUAGCUAAUGGGUUACUAGUCCAACGCUCUAACCACUAGGUUACCCUGCCGCGUGAUCAUAUGCCAGCAUGGAACAGUGUUCAGCGAUAGCUAAUGGGUUACUAGUCCAACGCUCUAACCACUAGGUUACCCUGCCGCGUGAUCAUAUGCCAGCAUGGAACAGUGUUCAGCGAUAGCUAAUGGGUUACUAGUCCAACGCUCUAACCACUAGGUUACCCUGCCGCGUGAUCAUAUGCCAGCAUGGAACAGUGUUCAGCGAUAGCUAAUGGGUUACUAGUCCAACGCUCUAACCACUAGGUUACCCUGCCGCGUGAUCAUAUGCCAGCAUGGAACAGUGUUCAGCGAUAGCUAAUGGGUUACUAGUCCAACGCUCUAACCACUAGGUUACCCUGCCGCGUGAUCAUAUGCCAGCAUGGAACAGUGUUCAGCGAUAGCUAAUGGGUUACUAGUCCAACGCUCUAACCACUAGGUUACCCUGCCGCGUGAUCAUAUGCCAGCAUGGAACAGUGUUCAGCGAUAGCUAAUGGGUUACUAGUCCAACGCUCUAACCACUAGGUUACCCUGCCGCGUGAUCAUAUGCCAGCAUGGAACAGUGUUCAGCGAUAGCUAAUGGGUUACUAGUCCAACGCUCUAACCACUAGGUUACCCUGCCGCGUGAUCAUAUGCCAGCAUGGAACAGUGUUCAGCGAUAGCUAAUGCCAUGGUGGCCUCAGCCUUUUUUGCAGAGUAAUUGUUUUUAAGCAUAAAUGGCAGCUUGUUUUGGGUAGAACUGUUAUAAGGCUUUGCCUUUUGAGGUUGUUUCUGAGUUGUCAUGUUUGUUUGUUUUUACAUCAAAGUUUGGUGUAGAAAUCAGCCUUACAAUGCAGGCAGUAUGCCUGUGUAUCGUCUCCAAUAAAUGGCUUCAACCAGCCUUUGAAUUCAGGGUUUGAUUCCCACUCCUUUCUGUAUUUUUGAGUGUACAGUUUAGACUGAGACAUGAUGAGCUAGCCAGCUAGAUGUUUAGCUUAUGUCACAGAGAGGCACACACACAGUGGACAAGGUGAGUAAGUGACUGACUGUGUUUUUUUGUGCAGUGAUUUAUUUUAGACAAAGAACAUUUUACAUUUUACAUCCCGCCCUGAAUGUAAGCCAGGACAUGACCAGACGGACCAAUGCAAUUCCAUUUCAAUCGCGCCAAAACGGCCCAAUCACAGCUGUGUAUGCAAACCAAACGAUGAUCGGUAGCAGGAUUUUUAAACAGUAAAAAAAAAAAAAAAAAAAAAGAAAAGUUAACUAAAUGCAACGGGAAAAAAUAGGUUUCCUAAUCAACUUGAAAAAAAUAAAUGGAGCCUAACGAGAUUGAGAAGGUUCAGGACACAAUAGAGACAGAGCCAGUGGCCGGGUCUUCUGAAGACCACGAGGAAGGAAAUGCCUGGCCCCAUCUCAAAGAACACUUCCGCUUCAAGCAGAGAGGAGGAGACAGUGUAACUAUGGAAUGUAAAGAUGGUGGAGGUGGCUGCCUACAAAAACUCUGCUUCAAAUUUGAGGAAACGUGUAAUGGUACAAAAAGUACAUGUGUAAAUAUAUAUACAUUUUUUUUAAAGUAAAGUUGUAAAUGUAUUUUAUUGCCAUGAAUGGCGUUUGUUGUGUAGGCUAUGUAGCCAGUUUCAUUCAAUCUGUAGCGUAAUGCUAACGUCAGCUAGCUCAUCCUGUUACUAGCUAGUUAGAAGCUAACCCUGACCAAUGUCCUUACACAGCUGAAGGAACUUUUGGCUGUAGUGCGGGCUACUACCUCAUUGACAUUAUGGUGGCUAGUAGUUAGCCAUCCCCAUAAUUUAAAUUGUUGGGGAUAGCUAAAAGUGAAAUUAAGGAACUUGUGAAGAUUAAAUAAAUCAUUUUGAGACCUGGGAUUUUUAGAGGAAACAUCCAUUAAAGAUGACAAACUACAAUAUGUUCACCUUUGCAACCACAAACAAACCAAGGAACUAUCAAACACCUCUUUGACUUGCAAGCAAGCAAAGAUAUCUGUAAUGAUGGCAGUGGGAGGAGGCAGGUGCGUCUCACAAGCAACCGUUGACAAGCUUGUCAUUGAUUUGAUCUGUGAGGGCCAACAGCGGUUCUCUGCGGUCAAACAAGCAGCUUUUAAAGAGUUGGUAAGCCCCCUGCAUCCUCAAUGCAAAGUCAUCUCCAGACCUACUGUUCGUUUAAGAAUAUAUGAAGCAGCCAAUCACACGAAGAAGACCGUUAUGGCACAACAUGGCAGGGUACAUUAUGUAGCCACCACCACUGAUUGGACAGCUCAUCGAAGGAGUUACAUCAGGGUCACAUGUCACUGGAUAGAUGAAGAAACUCUGAGACGCUCUGCUGCACUCGCUUGCAAGAGAUUGAGAGGUUCCCACACAUAUGAUGUGCUUGCAGGUGCCCUCGAUGACAUCCACUGUGCAUACAGGAUCAGGGGAAAGUGGUAAGAACCACAACAGACAGUGGAUCAAACUUCAUCAAAGCGUUCAAUGUUUUUGGUGAGCAGAGCCAGGCAGUCGAGUCAGCAGACCGAGACUCAGAUGCUGAAGAGCCAGCAGAGCAGAUUGAAUGGCAAGACACCUAUUCCAUCCUGGAAAAUGCCAGUGGCCUAGAAUAAUCAACUCCCUCAGCAUCAACGGUGUGCAUGUCACCUGCUGAACCUAAUUGAAACAGAUUCUGCGUUGGCAGAAACAAAAUAGUGAUGGCUACAAAAGGUUGUCCAGAUUAUCUUUUGCCAAAUGUCAUGUGGAGUAAAACGGGACGGUCAACCUUAGCUGCUGAAGUUGUAGAGAAUGAGCAAACUGCAGUUGAUCCGUCCAAAUCAAAGAAAGUUGGAACUCAACUUACCCUGACUGUGGAGAGGAUCACACACAUCAUACAAGAGAAGGGGGAGGAUGUCAUAAGAAAGGUGUGACAAUAAUUAAAAGUGAAAAUGUUGAGUCCGGCAGAAAGGUCCUUCUUGAAUGAGCACUGCAAAGUGAUGAAGCCUUUGGUCUCAGCUUUGAACAUUCUACAGUCUGAGACCAACAUGCAUAUGGGGUGGCUGCUACCAGUGAUCUUCUUACUAAAAAAACAAAACUUCAAAAGGUCGGGAAGCAUCUUGCCAAAUGUGCCUACCACUUAUCAGAGCCAGUCAGAAUGGCAAAUUCAGAGAGAAGUGAUGGAAAUGACCGGACCAGGGUGCAGCGUGGUGAGCCUACAUUUUCUCUUUAUUUCUUAAAAUGGAGCCAACAAAACAACAACAAUGGCCGUGAAGCUCCGUGAGGAUAUACCUGCAUCAACCGAAGACAACUACCCACAACUAAGGUGUAAAAAAAAAAAACAGGCUGCCUAAGUAUGAUUCCCAAUCAGAGACAACGAUAGACAGCUGUCCCUGAUUGAGAACCAUACCCGGCUAAAACAUAGAAACAGAAAACAUAGAAUGCCCACCCCACAUCGCACUCUGACCAAACCAAAUAGAAUAAUAAAACAGCUCUAAGGUCAGGGCAUAUAUUGUUACAUGUUAACAAUAUUACAUAUACAGUAGUAUAUAGAAAAGUACUUUUUAAUUUUUUAUUAAUUUGUUUGAAGCUUGCAUUCAAUUGCCAUACCCUUUUCACAUGAACUUCCAUUCUUGUAAAAGGAUAAUACAAAAUAACCAUCAAAAUUUGAAAUAGCAACUUAUUUUAGAUGUAACUUUUACUUUUUAAAUCUGCUACAUUAUACUUUUUUUUUUUUUACACCAGUACUUCUACUUGAUUUACAAUUUCAUUAAAGUAACAGUACUUCAACUUGAGUAGGAUUUUACAGUCCUCUUUCCAUCCCUGAAUAUAACACACAUACAUUAAUUAUUAACUUUGGUUGCCUGACGUGAUGUUUGUUCGAUAGAAAGUAUUUGACUAAUGUGUGGCACAGAAAGUAUUUGACUAGCCACAAAAUUACGAGGGGUGGGAGUAUUUCGGCAAGGCCAUUUUCUUGCCUGAUGAAACAUCAUUGACAAACAAAGUAAUCGUGUUUAGUGAAUCCGCUAGAUCAGAGGCAUUUGGAAUGACCAGGCAUGUUGUCUUGACAAGUGUGUGAAUUUGACAAUUUUCCUGUCCUGCUAAGCAUUCAAAAUGUAAUGAGGACUUUUCGGUAUCAGGGAAAUUGUAUGGAGUAAAAAGUACAUUAUUUUCUUUAGGAACGUAGUGAAGUAAAAGUAGUCAAAAAAUAUAAAUAGUAAAGUACAGACACCGCAAAAAAAACACUUUGGUGUAGGUUUCUGUAUGUUUUGACUCGAGUCACCGAGCUUACAUGAGCAAGGCAGUCAACCCACUGUUCCCCUGAACAAGGCAGUUAACCCACCGUUCCCCUGAACAAGGCAGUUAACCCACCGUUCCCCUGAACAAGGCAGUUAACCCACCGUUCCCCUGAACAAGGCAGUUAACCCACCUUUCCCCCGGGCUCCGAUGACGUGGAUGUUGAUUAAGGCAGCCCUCUGCACCUCUCUGAUUCAGAGGGGUUGGGUUAAAUGCAGAAGACACAUUUCAGUUGAAUGCUGACUACAGUAGGUAUCCCCCUUUCCCUUCCCGGUGGCGCAAGUUGAUUUCUAAAAAUAUGUUUUCACUUUGUCACAAGAGCAUAUUGUGUGUAGAUGGGUAAGAGAAGAAAAAAUAUUUAUUUCAUCCACUUUGAAUUUAGGCUGUAACAACAAAAUGUGGAAUAAGUCAAAGGGGAAUGAAUACCUUCUGAAGGCACUGUACUUUUGAAAUAAGUUUCCAUAGGAUCUUUAGUAACCACAGAAAACACACCUGUUUAAAGUCCCAUGUUUGGAAGAACAUUCCAUUGUUAGUUAGUACUUCAGUAUUAUUACAAUUAAAUGUUGUAAAAGUGUAUGGUUUAAAUGACAGUGAUUUGUCUUUUAACUUACUGCCUUCCUUCUUGUUCCUUUCAGCAGUGUAUUUCUUUUAAGACUUUUUGUUUGUCCAUUUUUUCCCCUGGUGGCAUUCAUAUUUUGUUUGUGCCCAGAACUUGAAAAGAACACAAUUUGUAAGUCGCUCUGGAUAAGAGCGUCUGCUAAAUGACUUAAAUGUAAAUGUAACACUAUUGAAUAGGAGAAUUUUACUCUCCCAACUUAAUUUUUUUUUGUUUCCUCUACCAAAGGCUGUGCUUUUGUUGAUGGUAAAGCACAUGACAUACUACUAUUACAAUGAAAGGCAUGUAGGGAAACGUAUAACGUUGCUCUAUCAAGUAGAGUAACUCCUCUGUGUUUUGGAGGAAUGGAAUCACACGUUUAAAAUGUGAAGCAUCCGCUUGGUGUUUCCGCAUAAUAUUUGGUAGUGAGAGGAAGCCUAGUUGCGGACAGUGGGAGAAGAUUGAAGGAGAUGGAUUGUGGCAGACAUUAUGUACAUUUUCUCAUCGAUGAAACAUUUGAUCUCAAUAGAGUUUUCUGUUUCCAACUAGAAUAUGUUAUGAACAGAGUGGACCAAGCCUGGGUGCUUGACUGCCGUUUUGAGGUCAGAGAACGCUCGGAUCAACUCUACUCCUCGGCCAGAACGUGCAGUGUGUCCUCCGAAAGAGAAAUGCUCUGAAUUUAAGAGGACAAUCUGACAACGCUCUGAAUUUAUGAGCGUGCACUCCAGAGUGAAUUUACUAACAUACCAAAGGUUCACAUCAAUGAUUUAUAGAUACACCCUUUUACGUCAUCUAGUGUGCUGUUUUGAAACCCUCGCGCCUCCAUCUUGGCACUCCCCUACAAUUGUAAAACAUAUUUUGGAAGCUAUAGAUAUGCAUUUACUAACGUCUACAUUUGUUUUAGCCACGUUUAUUCUAUUACAGACACCUUAAUUCAUACUUUAAAAUUAUAUGUGAACUAAACAUACAAAUCAAAUAUAUAAAACCAUUUUCGUUAAAGUAUAAUUUUUUGAAAGUACUAAUAUUACUCUUCACACUACACCAACAAAAUAAUACAUAAAUGCAUUUCAUUUUGUCCAUGAACCAUUUAAAUGAAAUACCGAAGGAUUCCAUUCAUUCCCAUGGAAUGCGGCUUUUCUAAGGAGUGUCAAUAUGGUUUACCGGUGGGAUCAAAGCUUCUCCUCAAAGAUUUUUUUAACUAAACCAAGAUAUAGACCUCUCUGAUACAUAAAUGCAUUUAAGGCUGCCCGUCCUGUUGGGGGAGGACGCAGCGAGCUGUGGGUUGGCAGCGCACUAUAUUCCUGCCUGCCAUAAAUUGAGGGACAGUGGCUGACAGACCAAUCAACCUGCAAGUGUACUCUACUGUACACGUAUUGUUAUUGUUGAAUGUAUGGUUAUUUUGACCCUUGGUUAUUGUUGUUACUGUUGUCCCGUUGACAAUUUUGAUUUUGAUUCUCAUUCUUAUGUUUUAUAUGGUAAAUAUCCCAAAUGAGCUUUGGCAAUAUUUACAUUGUUACGUCAUGCCAAUAAAGCGAAUUGAAUUGAAGCAAAUUGAUAUAGCACCGCCUGUCUUUUCCAAUGGGAACAAAUGAGUCAUAGUGGGCACAGCCAAGCACAAGAAAGCGAGAUCCUAUUGGUGCGUUCUAGCAUCAUCUGCAUGUUUUUCGUUAUAGGGAACGUCUACCCUGUGAAGUGCGCGUGUGCAGUAACAAUUCGCCUUUGUACUCAUAAACAAC